GACGAACGCUGGCGGCGUGCUUAACACAUGCAAGUCGAACGGAAAGGCCCUGCUUUUGUGGGGUGCUCGAGUGGCGAACGGGUGAGUAACACGUGAGUAACCUGCCCUUGACUUUGGGAUAACUUCAGGAAACUGGGGCUAAUACCGGAUAGGAGCUCCUGCUGCAUGGUGGGGGUUGGAAAGUUUCGGCGGUUGGGGAUGGACUCGCGGCUUAUCAGCUUGUUGGUGGGGUAGUGGCUUACCCAGGCUUUGACGGGUAGCCGGCCUGAGAGGGUGACCGGCCACAUUGGGACUGAGAUACGGCCCAGACGCCUACGGGAGGCAGCAGUGGGGAAUAUUGCACAAUGGGCGGAAGCCUGAUGCAGCAACGCCGCGUUCGGGAUGACGGCCUUCGGGUUGUAAACCGCUUUCGCCUGUGACGAAGCGGGAGUGACGGUAAUGGGUAAAGAAGCACCGGCUAACUACGUG
rnacentral:rRNA from 1 species